AUAUGUAGGUCGAUUAAUAAGCUUCAGUCAAGAGAUAAUUUCUUUUGUAUGAUAUGAAGGAGAUUGUUAAAACGUAAUGAUUAAAAAAAAAACUAUUAUUCAGAAGAUGGUGAUAGCAAUGUAUCAUACCAGGAAGAUAUGACGAAGCAAAACGUACUUUUGAACCUAUCUAUAAAGAAAAAGAGGCCGGUUUUUUAUAUUACGAAAUUAUAUCUUUAUGUUUAUAUUAGUAUUAAAAACAAAUCAACAAAUCGACAAUCUACCCCUAUAAAAAAGUUAUAUUUACCACCUUAGUACAUCUAAGACAAAUGUACUCACAUUUAAUAAUAUAAACAUACUACAUGAUGAAAGGGUAUGAUUUCAGGAUUCUUGGAGUAUUCCGUACAUUUCAGGGUCGAUCUGAAGUUAGCCCAUUGUUAUUGAAAACAUGCGAGAAGAUGUCAAGGAGGCAACAUAUAACCAUAGGCCAGGAAAGGUUGACUAAACCAUUGUCAAAAAGGAAAUUCAAGACGAACAACACUCCAUGAACACGUUUCGUAAAAAUAAAGACUGAGCCACACGAACCCCAAAAAAAGGGUUGAACUCCGUAAUUUUCUUUUUUUUUUUCUUUUUUUUUUUUCAUUAGUGAAAAACGUUGAGUUAUUCGUGUUAUUCCGAUAAGAACAAUGUUAUUUAAUUCUAAGAUCUAAGACUUCAGCCGUAUCAUUAAGAACUGUCAAUCAUUGUAGUUCUAAUCUGUGAAGAUUCGAUUUCAUUUGAUUGUAGCUUAUUUUUAACGUGCUACUAGUAUUUACUAUAAAGGAACUAGAGGAACUAUUAAAAACAUUGAUUUUA